UCCUUCAGGUUGAUCAGUACCGACAGUUAACAAUUCAGAACCUGCAGCUGACUCUCUACAACCAGAAACAGGAUGCUGGUCCACAGAGAGAAGAAAAUCCUCAGGAUAUGAUGGAGUAUUUGGGCUCUGAAUGUUACUGGCUGGGUUGCCUGAUGGCUUUGAACAACCCUCCUCUUCAGCCUGACUGGGAGAAUCACCCCCCAUCGAUGGACAAAUGGGACUUUUUCCCACAACGUAUCACAGCUGCUUCUGAAAAUUAGUGAAAUCAAAAUAAUCAAGAAUCAAUCUCACUUCAUACAUCUAUGCAAAUCCUUUAGUAUGACAGCUUGUCCUGUAUUUAACACAGUUUUAUUUUAUUUAAAAUUAAUAGGUACGUUUAUGCUCAUUGUUGUUAAAGUCUCACUAAAACUUAGUUUCCUUUAUUGUAACUUUUGUUAGCAAAGCUCUUCAGUUUUCAUGCCUUUUUUCAGGGAUUCGAACAUCAUAAAUAUAAAACUGUUAAGCUAU